rnacentral:rRNA from 1 species
AGAGUUUGAUCCUGGCUCAGAACGAACGCUGGCGGCGUGCCUAACACAUGCAAGUCGAACGGAGUGAAGGAGCUUGCUCUUUCAUUUAGUGGCGCACGGGUGAGUAACGCGUAGAUAAUCUGCCUUGGACUCUGGGAUAACAUCUCGAAAGGGGUGCUAAUACCGGAUAAGCCCACGAUGGCGUAAGUCAUUGCGGGAAAAGGGGGCCUCUGAAUAUGCUCCUGAUUCAAGAUGAGUCUGCGUACCAUUAGCUAGUUGGUAGGGUAAGAGCCUACCAAGGCGACGAUGGUUAGCUGGUCUGAGAGGAUGAUCAGCCACACUGGAACUGAGACACGGUCCAGACUCCUACGGGAGGCAGCAGUGGGGAAUUUUGCGCAAUGGGGGAAACCCUGACGCAGCAACGCCGCGUGAGUGAUGAAGGCUUUCGGGU